rnacentral:rRNA from 1 species
GACGAACGCUGGCGGCGUGCUUAACACAUGCAAGUCGAACGGAAAGACCCUGCUUUUGUGGGGUGCUCGAGUGGCGAACGGGUGAGUAACACGUGAGUAACCUGCCCUUGACUUUGGGAUAACUUCAGGAAACUGGGGCUAAUACCGGAUAGGAGCUCCUGCUGCAUGGUGGGGGUUGGAAAGUUUCGGCGGUUGGGGAUGGACUCGCGGCUUAUCAGCUUGUUGGUGGGGUAGUGGCUUACCAAGGCUUUGACGGGUAGCCGGCCUGAGAGGGUGACCGGCCACAUUGGGACUGAGAUACGGCCCAGACUCCUAUGGGAGGCAGCAGUGGGGAAUAUUGCACAAUGGGCGGAAGCCUGAUGCAGCAACGCCGCGUGCGGGAUGACGGCCUUCGGGUUGUAAACCGCUUUCGCCUGUGACGAAGCGUGAGUGACGGUAAUGGGUAAAGAAGCACCGGCUAACUACGUG